rnacentral:rRNA from 1 species
AUUGAACGCUGGCGGCAGGCUUAACACAUGCAAGUCGAGCGAGCGGCGGACGGGUGAGUAAUAUCUGGGAAACUGCCAGAUGGAGGGGGAUAAAUACUGGAAACGGUAGAUAAUCCCGCAUACCAUCAGAUGUGCCCAGAUGGGAUUAGCGAGUAGGUGGGGUAAUGGCUCACCUAGGCGAAGAUCCCUAGCUGGUCUGAGAGGAGGACCAGCCAAACUGGAACUGAAACACGGUCCAGACUCCUACGGGAGGCAGCAGUGGGGAAUAUUGCACAAUGGGCGAAAGCCUGAUGCAGCCAUGCCGCGGAGGUGAAGAAGGCCUUCGGGUUGUAAAGCACUUUCAGCGAGGAGGCGUUACUCGCAGAAGAAGCACCGGCUAACUCCGUGCCAGCCGCCGCGGUAAUAC